UUGGUGUCUGCAUCUCUCACUGGGGCUUGC
rnacentral:piRNA from 2 species